GCGUUGGUGGUUCAGUGGCAGAAUUCUCGCCUGCCACGCGGGAGACCGGGGUUCGAUUCCCCGCCAACGCA
rnacentral:tRNA from 1 species